rnacentral:rRNA from 1 species
UUGGCGAACGGGUGAGUAACGCGUGAGUAACCUGCCCUGGAGUGGGGGACAACAGUUGGAGACGACUGCUAAUACCGCAUAAGCCCACGGAUCCGCAUGGAUCUGCGGGAAAAGGAUUUAUUCGCUUCAGGAUGGACUCGCGUCCAAUUAGCUAGUUGGUGAGGUAACGGCCCACCAAGGCGACGAUUGGUAGCCGGACUGAGGGGUUGAACGGCCACAUUGGGACUGAGAUACGGCCCAGACUCCUACGGGAGGCAGCAUG